GAUGAACGCUGGCGGCGUGCCUAAUACAUGCAAGUCGAGCGAACAGAUGAGGAGCUUGCUCCUCUGACGUUAGCGGCGGACGGGUCAGUAACACGUGGAUAACCUACCUAUAAGACUGGGAUAACUUCGGGAAACCGGAGCUAAUACCGGAUAAUAUAUUGAACCGCAUGGUUCAAUAGUGAAAGACGGUUUUGCUGUCACUUAUAGAUGGAUCCGCGCCGCAUUAGCUAGUUGGUAAGGUAACGGCUUACCAAGGCAACGAUGCGUAGCCGACCUGAGAGGGUGAUCGGCCACACUGGAACUGAGACACGGUCCAGACUCCUACGGGAGGCAGCAGUAGGGAAUCUUCCGCAAUGGGCGAAAGCCUGACGGAGCAACGCCGCGUGAGUGAUGAAGGUCUUCGGAUCGUAAAACUCUGUUAUUAGGGAAGAACAAAUGUGUAAGUAACUAUGCACGUCUUGACGGUACCUAAUCACAAAGCCACGGCUAACUACGUG
rnacentral:rRNA from 1 species